rnacentral:rRNA from 1 species
GACGAACGCUGGCGGCGUGCUUAACACAUGCAAGUCGAACGGUGACGAGGAGCUUGCUCCUCCGAUCAGUGGCGAACGGGUGAGUAACACGUGAGUAACCUGCCCCAGACCCUGGGAUAACAGUUGGAAACAGCUGCUAAUACCGGAGUACGAGACGGAGAGGCAUCUCUACCGUCUGGAAAGAUUUAUCGGUCUGGGAUGGACUCGCGGCCUAUCAGCUUGUUGGUGAGGUAAAGGCUCACCAAGGCGACGACGGGUAGCCGGCCUGAGAGGGCGACCGGCCACACUGGGACUGAGACACGGCCCAGACUCCUACGGGAGGCAGCAGUGGGGAAUAUUGCACAAUGGGCGAAAGCCUGAUGCAGCGACGCCGCGUGAGGGAUGACGGCCUUCGGGUUGUAAACCUCUUUCAGCAGGGAAGAAGCGAAAGUGACGGUACCUGCAGAAGAAGCACCGGCUAACUACGUG